AGAACCCUGUGAUGUGCGUGAGCGACCCGUUUGUUUUGUACCAACACUAAUGAAAAGGGAAACUGGGGUUCCGCUGUGGCGCAGAAGCCGCCCUGAAUUGAGCGGACCUGUAAAGCAGCGGACAGGUCUCCCACCUGCCAGAGCAGGUUCAAAACACAGGCAUCACGGCAUUCCUGGGGUUCUU
rnacentral:other from 2 species